rnacentral:lncRNA from 1 species
AGAGAAGAGAAGAGAAGAGAAGAGGCUGGCCAUGUGGAGAGAGAGGAGAAGAGAGGGAGAAAAGGAGAACGAGAGGGAGAAGCUUGUUAAAAGACAGGAUGCUGAAAGAGGAGAUGAAACAUUUCAACCUGAAGGGAAGUGCUUUAAGAUGCAGGAUGUAAAACAAUGAAAUGCUGGAAGAAGAGCUCAAACACUCCAUUCUUUAAAAAGGCUUCUUAAACUCAGGAAAUAAACAACUGAAUAACUUCAGAAAGUCCCUGAAACUGGCAAGA